GCCUAUGGCAAUACCAGUCUGAAAGUGCCUGAUCUUGUCAGAUCUCAGAAGUCAUGCAGACUUGGGCCUGUUAAGUACUUGUAUGGGAGACCAACUAGGAACCUCAGGUGCAGUAAGCU
rnacentral:rRNA from 1 species